GUCGAGCGGAGAUGUACUGAAGAUUUAUCGGAUGUACAUCUUAGCGGCGGACGGGUGAGUAACGCGUGGGCAACCUGCCUUCCACUGGGGGAUAACACAGGGAAACCUGUGCUAAUACCGCAUGACAUCACAUAGGGCAUCCUGUGUGAUCAAAGGAGUGAUCCGGUGGAAGAUGGGCCCGCGUCCGAUUAGCUAGUUGGUGAGGUAACGGCUCACCAAGGCGACGAUCGGUAGCCGGACUGAGAGGUUGGCCGGCCACAUUGGGACUGAGACACGGCCCAGACUCCUACGGGAGGCAGCAGUGGGGAAUAUUGCGCAAUGGGGGGAACCCUGACGCAGCGACGCCGCGUGAAGGAAGAAGGCCUUCGGGUUGUAAACUUCUUUGAUGAGGGACGAAGGAAGUGACGGUACCUCAAAAACAAGCCACGGCUAACUACGUGCCAGCAGCCGCGGUAGUACGUAGGUGGCGAGCGUUGUCCGGAAUUACUGGGUGUAAAGGGCGUGUAGGCGGGGAUGCAAGUCAGAUGUGAAAUACCGCGGCUUAACCGCGGGGCUGCAUCUGAAACUGUGUCUCUUGAGUGUCGGAGAGGAAAGCGGAAUUCCCAGUGUAGCGGUGAAAUGCGUA
rnacentral:rRNA from 1 species